rnacentral:lncRNA from 1 species
AGCCACCGUGCCCAGCCUAAUCCAGCCACAUUUCAUAUGUGCAGUAGCCACCAUAUCGAGUAGCAUGACUGCAGAGGAUCGCUGCAUCGGCCACAGAAGUGCCUCAUUCCUGCUCUCAAAGAGAAAUGCAGAAAUGCCAAGGAGCCCUUCUUGUUGAUCCUCCCAAAGAAAAUAAAGUGAGGUGGGGUAGCACAGAAUAAUUCUGCAGAUUGGCUUCUUCAUAAAAUAUUUAUUUUCUUGUGUACAGACUU